UACGUAGGGCGCAAGCGUUAUCCGGAAUUACUGGGCGUAAAGAGCUCGUAGGUGGUUUGUCGCGUUGUCCGUGAAAACUCACAACUCAAUUGUGGGCGUGCGGGCGAUACGGGCAGACUGGAGUACUGCAGGGGGAGACUGGAAUUCCUGGUGUAGCGGUGGAAUGCGCAGAUAUCAGGAGGAACACCGGUGGCGAAGGCGGGUCUCUGGGCAGUAACUGACGCUGAGGAGCGAAAGCGUGGGGAGCGAACAGG
rnacentral:rRNA from 1 species